UGAAGAUUAAGAAGAAGAAACAAAGAAGCAGGUUAAAAAGAGAGUUGUUUAGGAAGAGAUGGCCAAGUUCUUCACUCCCAAUUUUCUUAUCCUCUUCUUAGCUCUGCUUUUCAUCUCAGUACAGGUGAAGGUGAAUGCUCGUAUUUGUGACCAGGUUUUGGGCGAUUGUGACAGUACGUGUGCUGCGAGAUGUAAGGCAGCCCAUGGACCUAACGCCACGAUUCAAUGUUUGAGACCAUACAUCUGUGUAUGUGAGUUCCCUUGUCAAUCGUCUCUAGAAAAAAUGGCAUUCCUAACGCACAAGACUCCCACCACUGUAGGGUCUGGAGAGGAUCAUAAUAUACACAUCCUUACCCCCAAUUCACUAAGAGGCUGAACAUGCAUGUAAAUCCAAUAUUUGAAUAUGAUAUUAAUAAAGAGAUCUUUUUAUAGGCUCA